GAAAGGAAGACAAUAGUGUACCCAUGCCAGAGUAAAUUGCUUCCUCGAUCCAUUGCUCAGCCUCCUUACCUGUGGGCUGUCAGCACUGAAGAGGGUUGUACAGUA
rnacentral:snoRNA from 1 species